AGAUUUUAACAACCAAAAAAAAACCCCCGGGGUUAAAUUCCGGUGCGAAGCAAAGCCGCCGGUUAAUUACGGGAGGGGGGCCAAGCGGUUUAUUCCGAAAUUUCAUGGGCGUUAAAACGCACGCAAGGGGGUUUUUUUAAAUUUAAAUGUGGAAAAACCCCCCCGGCUUUCACGCGGGGGAAGGGUCAUUUGGAAACUGGCAAACUUGAGUCUCGUAGAGGGGAAGUAGGAAUUCCAGGUGUAACGGGGAAAUGCGUAGAGAUUUGGAGGAAUCCCCGUGGGGAAGGCGGCCUUCUGGGUCAAAGAACUGACCCUCAGGUGCGAAAACGUGGGGAGCAAACAGGAUUAGAUACCCUGGUAGUCCACCCUGUAAACGAUGUAGACUUGGAGGUUGUAGGCCUUGAGGCGUGGCUUCCGGAGAUAACGCCCUAAGUCCCCCCCCUGGGGAGUACGGGCCCAAGGGUAAAACUCAAAUGAAAUUCGGGGGGGCCGCACAAACGGUGGAGCAUGUGGUUUAAUUUGAUGCAACACGAAGAACCCUUCCCCUCUUUCAUCCAGAGAAUUCGCUAGAGAUUCUGUAGUUUUUCGGGGAUCAGAGACAGGUGGUGCAUGGCUGUCGUCAACUCGUGUUGUGAAAUGUUGGGGUAAGUUCCGCAACGAGCGCCCCCUUAUCCUUUAUUUCAGCCCGUAAUGGUGGCAACUCAAGGAGACUGCCGGUGAUAAACCGGAGGAAGGUGGGGAUGACGUCAAGUCAUCAUGCCCCUUACGAGUAGGGCUACACACGUGCUCCAAUGGCGGAUACAAAGAGAAGCAAACUCGCGAGAGGAAGCGAUCCUCAUAAAGCCCUUCCUAGUCCGGAUCGGAGUCUGCAACUCGCCUCCGUGAAGUCGGAAUCGUUAGUAAUCGUAGAUCAGAAUGCUCCGGUGAAUCCGUUCCCGGCCCUGGUCCCCACCGCCCGUCCCCCCAUGGGAGUGGGUUCCAACAGAAGUAGGUAGGUUACCCUUCGGAAGCACGCUUUCUCA
rnacentral:rRNA from 1 species